AACGAACGCUGGCGGCGUGCUUAACACAUGCAAGUCGAACGCGAAAGGGACUUCGGUCCUGAGUAAAGUGGCGCACGGGUGAGUAACGCGUAGAUAACCUAUCUUCAUGUCUGGAAUAAUACGCCGAAAGGGGUACUAAUACCGGAUAUUCUUGCUUUAUAUAAGUUUUGCAAGCAAAGGUGGCCUCUGCAUAUGCUACUGCAUGAAGAGGGGUCUGCGUACCAUUAGCUAGUAGGUGGGGUAAUGGCCUACCUAGGCGACGAUGGUUAGCGGGUCUGAGAGGAUGAUCCGCCACACUGGCACUGGAACACGGGCCAGACUCCUACGGCAGGCAGCAGUGAGGAAUAUUGCGCAAUGGGGGAAACCCUGGCGCAGCGACGCCGCGUGAGUGAGGAAGGCCUUCGGGUCGUAAAGCUCUGUCAAAGGGAAAGAAGUGCAUGGUGGUUAAUACCUGCCAUGUUUGACGGUACCCUUAAAGGAAGCACCGGCUAACUCCGUGCCAGCAGCCGCCGCCGUAA
rnacentral:rRNA from 1 species